GGAAGGAUCAUUAACACGUUAUCCACGUGGUGGUAAGUUUCAUCUAAAGCUAAAUAAUGGCGAGAGACCGAUAGCGAACAAGUACCGUGAGGGAAAGAUGAAAAGAACUUUGAAAAGAGAGUUAAAAGUACUUGAAAUUGCUAAGAGGGAAAGCGCUAGAAACCAGUGAUACGCUGAGUCAAUCGCUUUCAGCCCCACUAGGCAGCGUACGUAAUGGGCAACCUUGCGUGCGUUUUCGAAAGGGUGGUUGGGAGUUUAUGAUUUAGUGUCAGUCAAGAUCAAUUCGGAUUGUGGGAGAAGGUGGUGAGAAAGGUAGGAGGGCAACCUCUGUUAAGUCUUACUACUCUACCUCGGCCUGGAUUGAGGAAGGAAUGGUGCGCCGCUUGCGGCUUGGUCCUGCGUUCCUAUAGUCUCAUUUGCUCUGAUAGCAAUGCUAUCUCUGUGGAGAAGGGCUGUACUGGGCGUAGUGAUUCGAUGUGCCAUCACGAUCUUGUACGAAAUGGUUUCUAUCGACCCGUCUUGAAACACGGAACCAAGGAGUCUAACAUCUAUGCAAGUAUUGGGUGUAAAACCCUGAUGCGUAAUGAAAGUAAAGGUAGUCUUGUGCUACUGAGGUAGGAAUCCUGCAAGGGAGGCACUAUCGACCGAUCAUCACUUGUGAAGAUUUGAGUAAGAGCAUAUCUGUUGGGACCCGAAAGAUGGUGAUCUAUGCCUGAACAGGGUGAAGCCAGGGGAAACUCUGGUGGAGGCUCGUAGCGAUACUGACGUGCAAAUCGUUCGUCUGAUUUGGGGUAUAGGGGCGAAAGACUAAUCGAACCAUCUAGUAGGCUGGUUCCCUC
rnacentral:misc_RNA from 1 species